AAUGAACGUUGGCGGCGUGGAUUAGGCAUGCAAGUCGUGCGGCAGCAGGCCCUUCGGGGCGCUGGCGAGCGGCGAAAGGGAGAGUAACGCGUGGGUAACCUACCCUUGGGACUGGGAUAGCGGCGGGAAACUGCCGGUAAUACCGGAUAACGUCUCCGGACCAAAGGUGUGAUUCCGCCUGGGGAUGGGCCCGCGUCCUAUUAGUUAGUUGGUGAGGUAACGGCUCACCAAGGCCGCGAUGGGCACCGGGUGUGAGAGCAUGACCCGGCUCACUGGGACUGAGACACUGCCCAGACACCUACGGGUGGCUGCAGUCGAGAAUCUUCGGCAAUGGACGAAAGUCUGACCGAGCGACGCCGCGUGCGGGAUGAAGGCCCUCGGGUUGUAAACCGCUGUCAGUUGGGAGGAAAUUCAUGGGGGUUCUCCCCUGUGAUUGACCGAGCUUCAGAGGAAGGACGGGCUAAGUUCGUG
rnacentral:rRNA from 1 species